rnacentral:rRNA from 1 species
UACAGAGGUCUCAAGCGUUGUUCGGAUUCACUGGGCGUAAAGGGUGCGUAGGCGGUUGGGUGCGUCGGCGCUGAAAUCCGUGGGCUCAACCCACGGGCGCGUGCCGAUACGACCCAACUCGAGGCUCGGAGAGGGUGGGAGAACUCCUGGUGUAGUGGUGAAAUGCGUAGAGAUCAGGAAGAAUACCCGUGGCGCAAGCGCCCACCUGGCCGAGACCUGACGCUAAGGCACGAAAGCGUGGGGAGCGAACCGG